GGAUUAAUGCCCCAUAGUAUAUAAACUUCGCAUGUUGUUUAUAUUAAAGUUCCAACGGUAAAAGAUGAGCAUGCGUCCCAUUAGUUAGUUGGUAAGGUAACGGCUUACCAAGACGAUGAUGGGUAGGGGUCCUGAGAGGGAGAUCCCCCACACUGGUACUGAGACACGGACCAGACUCCUACGGGAGGCAGCAGUGAGGAAUAUUGGACAAUGGGCGCAAGCCUGAUCCAGCCAUGCCGCGUGCAGGAAGAAGCAUCUAUGGUGUGUAAACUGCUUUUGUACAGGAAGAAACACUCCCUCGUGAGGGAGCUUGACGGUACUGUAAGAAUAAGGAUCGGCUAACUCCGUGCCAGCAGCCGCGGUAAUACGGAGGAUCCAAGCGUUAUCCGGAAUCAUUGGGUUUAAAGGGUCCGUAGGCGGUCUAAUAAGUCAGUGGUGAAAGCCCAUCGCUCAACGAUGGAACGGCCACUGAUACUGUUAGACUUGAAUUACUGGGAAGUAACUAGAAUAUGUAGUGUAGCGGUGAAAUGCUUAGAUAUUACAUGGAAUACCAAUUGCGAAGGCAGGUUACUACCAGUGGAUUGACGCUGAUGGACGAAAGCGUGGGGAGCG
rnacentral:rRNA from 1 species